rnacentral:rRNA from 1 species
GUGGGGAAUAUUGGACAAUGGGCGAAAGCCUGAUCCAGCAAUGCCGCGUGGAUGAAGAAGGUCUUCGGAUUGUAAAGUCCUUUCGACGGGGACGAUGAUGACGGUACCCGUAGAAGAAGCCCCGGCUAACUUCGUGCCAGCAGCCGCGGUAAUACGAAGGGGGCUAGCGUUACUCGGAAUUACUGGGCGUAAAGGGCGCGUAGGCGGCUUGGCAAGUCAGGCGUGAAAUUCCCGGGCUCAACCUGGGGACUGCGCUUGAGACUGUUGGGCUAGAGGAUGGUAGAGGGUCGUGGAAUUCCCAGUGUAGAGGUGAAAUUCGUAGAUAUUGGGAAGAAUACCGGUGGCGAAGGCGGCGACCUGGUCCAUUACUGACGCUGAGGCGCGACAGCGUGGGGAGCAAACAGGAUUAGAAACCCUGGUAGUCC